GACUGUUCUUGGGCGACACACCCUAGAAUCAGGCUCCCUCCUCUCUGGUUUCAGCUCCAUCACCCAAGAACCGCA
rfam:Myotis brandtii contig218264, whole genome shotgun sequence.